rnacentral:rRNA from 1 species
UUGACCUCGGAUCAGGUAGGGAUACCCGCUGAACUUAAGCAUAUCAAUAAGCGGAGGAAAAGAAACCAACAGGGAUUGCCUCAGUAACGGCGAGUGAAGCGGCAACAGCUCAAAUUUGAAAUCUGGCCGUUCGGCGGUCCGAGUUGUAAUUUGUAGAGGAUGCUUCGGGUGCGGCGCCGGUCUAAGUUCCUUGGAACAGGACGUCAUAGAGGGUGAGAAUCCCGUAUGUGACCGGCGACCUGGCCCGUGUGAAGCUCCUUCAACGAGUCGAGUUGUUUGGGAAUGCAGCUCUAAGCGGGUGGUAAAUUUCAUCUAAAGCUAAAUACCGGCCAGAGACCGAUAGCGCACAAGUAGAGUGAUCGAAAGAUGAAAAGCACUUUGGAAAGAGAGUUAAAAAGUACGUGAAAUUGUUGAAAGGGAAGCGCUUGCGACCAGACUUGCUCACGGGCGAUCAGCCGUCCUUCUGGGCGGUGCACUCGCCGGUGAUCAGGCCAGCAUCGGUUCAGGCGGCCGGAUAAAGGCCCCGGGAACGUGGCUCCCCUCGGGGAGUGUUACAGCCCGGGGUGCAAUGCGGCCCGCCGGGACCGAGGACCGCGCUUCGGCUAGGAUGCUGGCGUAAUGGUCGUAAGCGACCCGUCUUGAAACACGGACCAAGGAGUCUAACAUCUGUGCGAGUGUUUGGGUGUCAAACCCAUGCGCGGAAUGAAAGUGAACGGAGGUGGGAACCCUUCAGGGUGCACCAUCGACCGAUCCUGAUGUCUUCGGAUGGAUUUGAGUAAGAGCAUAGCUGUUGGGACCCGAAAGAUGGUGA